AUUGAACGCUGGCGGAAUGCUUUACACAUGCAAGUCGAACGGCAGCACGGGUGCUUGCACCUGGUGGCGAGUGGCGAACGGGUGAGUAAUGCGUCGGAACGUACCGAGUAAUGGGGGAUAACGCAGCGAAAGUUGUGCUAAUACCGCAUACGCCCUGAGGGGGAAAGUGGGGGACCGCAAGGCCUCACGUUAUUCGAGCGGCCGACGUCUGAUUAGCUAGUUGGUGGGGUAAAGGCCUACCAAGGCGACGAUCAGUAGCGGGUCUGAGAGGAUGAUCCGCCACACUGGGACUGAGACACGGCCCAGACUCCUACGGGAGGCAGCAGUGGGGAAUUUUGGACAAUGGGGGCAACCCUGAUCCAGCCAUUCCGCGUGAGUGAAGAAGGCCUUCGGGUUGUAAAGCUCUUUCAGCUGGAACGAAACGGUACGCGCUAACAUCGUGUGCUAAUGACGGUACCGGCAGAAGAAGCACCGGCUAACUACGUGCCAGCAGCCGCGGUAAUACGUAGGGUGCGAGCGUUAAUCGGAAUUACUGGGCGUAAAGCGUGCGCAGGCGGAUUGUUAAGCAAGACGUGAAAUCCCCGGGCUUAACCUGGGAAUGGCGUUUUGAACUGGCAGUCUAGAGUGCGUCAGAGGGGGGUGGAAUUCCACGUGUAGCAGUGAAAUGCGUAGAGAUGUGGAGGAACACCGAUGGCGAAGGCAGCCCCCUGGG
rnacentral:rRNA from 1 species